GAUCUUCUGGCCGCCGCUGCGGAACCUGUUCAUCCCCGUCUUUCUGAACUGCUGGCUGGCCAAGCACGCACUGGAAAACAUGAUUAAUGACUUCCACCGUGCCAUCCUGCGGACACAGUCAGCCAUGUUCAACCAGGUCCUCAUCCUCUUCUGCACCCUGCUGUGCCUCGUUUUCACGGGGUGAGUGCCGGCCGUCAGUGUGAGCACCCCAGGACGUUGGGGAGGGCCCGAGAGGCAAGCAGGGCCGGGCGAGGGGAUACAGAUGCCUAUGUCCAAGCUAUCAGGGGACAGAAAAGGCCACAGUGCCUGGGCUGUGGGUGUCGGGCCACCAAGCUGGGACUGAGGUCAGGAGGCAGCUCCAAGCCCACGUCCCCAGUACACGAGCGGCCCUGCAGCCCGACUCCUCCAAG
rnacentral:lncRNA from 1 species